rnacentral:lncRNA from 1 species
UCCCUGGGUGCCUUUCAUGGCUGCUUAUUGCUCACUAAGGGUGAUGGUGUAUCACAAUGACAAUCACUUCAUUUUCACUUUAAUAAAUUGUUUGUGUGGAGGUGGCAUUUAAUGGUGGUUGAGGAGAACCCCAAGAUUAUUUUUUCUUUGUAAUUGAUUUUGCAUGUCUUAUCAUUCACUCUGUAUGUGGAGGCAGAACAAUCUUUGGUCCUUUUACAGGCAAGUUAGCAAUAUUACCACUUGUUGCCUUCUUUUUAUUAUUAUAAAUCAGUAAUUUUCAAGUGAGUAACACCAAGAUCCUGACAUCCUUCCUAUUUUUUAUGAUUAAUAAUGUGUCUUAAUGGCAUGAUUAAAUAUUGCUGAAAUGCAUCUACAGGGAAAUCCAUCUGUGUACAAAGGAAGCAGAAGCAAUUAUGGAUCAACAUCACCAACGCUGGUGCAAAUGAAAGCAACAACAGGUCCACUGCAAAAGCCACAGCAAGUCAACCUGCAAAAAGAAAACAAAUUUGAAGGUGGUGAACACGGACAAAUGCUCUCGUAUAAUCCUUUUUUUGCCUCCAAAGCACCUUCACUGCUGGGUGGAGAUCAUUGCCAAGAUUUUGACAGUGUACUUAUCAACCAAUUAAUUGUUUUAUGUCUGAGGUGCAGAACAGGCUGGGUCAGCAUCCAUGCAAUGCACCAGACCUUCACAGGACAUGACAACAAAAAAUGAACUGCUGUCACCCUCUGAUGUGCAAGUUAAGUCAGAACUCAGAAGUAAACAAAAGGGGAAACUGUCACAAUGCAUGAAUGCAAUGGCUUUCUGUGGCUGCGUAGCUGGAGAUUUUGAUGUCAAUCAAGCAAAAAGGCAUCGUCGGAAAAGGAGUCAUUUUUCCACUGACACUGAUUUUAACAUCAAUGUUGAGGAAAACCCUGAAAUAGAUCCAGGAACCAGUCAACUGAAAAAAAAAUGCCUUGGUAAGAUGACCAUGUUUCUAACACAUUUUAAACUGCUUCAGCUUUUUCAUCAGAUGAUUCAUAUGUGGUUUUCUUCCUUUUCUUAUGCAUUUUACAGAGCUUGAUAAAAACCCUGUGGCCGUGCAGAAGAAAAAGAAAAAAAGAUGUGGUCACAUAUUAAAAUCAUGUUCUAAAUAAAUGUAUGUAUAACAUUGUUCA